AUAAAUACAAUGACGGAGACAGUUUAUAAAGAAAACUUCUAGAGAGCUUGUGGUUGGUGGAAACAAGUAAGUGGAAUUUAUAAUGGAUCACUCCCCAGUAGCAAUCCUGAAAUCAUAGUAGGGUGCGCCGUGAAUCGCGUUAAGAUGUUAAGAGCAUAUCGCAAGAUAUGAAUAAAGGUGGUACCGCGUUAACACGUCCUUUAA
rnacentral:ncRNA from 1 species